rnacentral:rRNA from 1 species
AUUAAACUUAAGAGUUUGAUCCUGGCUCAGAUUGAACGCUGGCGGCAUGCUUUACACAUGCAAGUCGAACGGCAGCACGGGUGCUUGCACCUGGUGGCGAGUGGCGGACGGGUGAGUAAUACAUCGGAACGUGUCCUAAAGUGGGGGAUAACGCAUCGAAAGAUGUGCUAAUACCGCAUAAUCUCUGAGGAGAAAAGUAGGGGAUCGAAAGACCUUAUGCUUUUGGAGCGGCUGAUGUCUGAUUAGCUAGUUGGUAAGGUAAUGGCUUACCAAGGCGACGAUCAGUAGUUGGUCUGAGAGGACGACCAGCCACACUGGGACUGAGACACGGCCCAGACUCCUACGGGAG